CCUACGGGGAGCAGCAGUGAGGAAUAUUGGUCAAUGGCCGAGAGGCUGAACCAGCCAAGUCGCGUGAGGGAAGACGGCCCUACGGGUUGUAAACCUCUUUUGUCGGGGAGCAAAGCGAGUCACGUGUGACUCAUUGAGAGUACCCGAAGAAAAAGCAUCGGCUAACUCCGUGCCAGCAGCCGCGGUAAUACGGAGGAUGCGAGCGUUAUCCGGAUUUAUUGGGUUUAAAGGGUGCGCAGGCGGAGGUGCAAGUCAGCGGUCAAAUUGCGGGGCUCAACCCCGUACUGCCGUUGAAACUGCAGCCCUUGAGUGCGCGAGAAGUAUGCGGAAUGCGUGGUGUAGCGGUGAAAUGCAUAGAUAUCACGCAGAACUCCGAUUGCGAAGGCAGCAUACCGGCGCGCAACUGACGCUCAUGCACGAAAGCGUGGGUAUCGAACAGGAUUAGAUACCCGAGUAGUC
rnacentral:rRNA from 1 species